CCUAACCCCCCUGGAUUUCAGUGGGAUUAUUAUUCAUGUGUAAAGCGCAGGUCUCCUCCCCUCGCCCUAGUGGUCAGCGGAGUAAUAUAGACCCGGACAGGACAGCGCGCAUGAGUGUUUAAACAGACUUACAAACUGACUGAACAAACUGUUCCGGUGGAAAAGAGUUUGAUUUAUAUCUGUAUAUUCCGUUUUGUUAUUUAAUUUAAUUUUUUAUUUUUUUCUAUUUCACUGAUAUGGAAAAAGAAACCGAGCGAAACAUGAUGACGGAGUUCUGGAAGGAACAUUCCAAGUUUGCAACAGUAGAGGAGAUGAUGCUGGAUACAAACGCUCAGGAACUGACCCAACACGAGCUGCCAGAGAUUCUCUCCCUGCUCCCUUCUCUGGCUGGUUCUGAUGUGCUGGAACUCGGUGCUGGAAUCGGUCGGUUCACACGUCACCUCAUUGGCAAGGCCCGUCAUGUGACUGCUGUGGACUUCAUGGAGAAGUUUGUGGAAAAGAACAAAAAGGACAACAGUCACCUGGGCAACGCUGAGUUCAUCCAAGCUGAUGUCACAAAGCUGGACUUCCCUAAACACAGUUUUGAUGUGGUCUUCUCUAAUUGGCUGUUGAUGUAUCUGAGUGAUCAGGAGCUGAAGUCAUUGGCUGAUAAGUUCCUCAUGUGGCUCCGCCCAGGCGGCCACCUGUUCUUCAGAGAGUCCUGCUUUCACCAGUCAGGUGACUGCAAGCGAGAUUUCAACCCCACGCACUACAGAAGCCCUGCUUACUACAACCACCUGAUGACGUCACUCCUGCUGGACGAAUCAGAUCAGAUAGAGAAGAAAUGCUACGGGUUUGACAUGGUGCUCAAUAAGACAGUUCAGACCUAUGUGAAGAUGAAGAACAACCAGAACCAGUUGUGCUGGCUCAUGCAGAAAGUUCGUCGUGAUGUGGUUCAGCAGCAUCAGGGAGGCUUUUCCACAUUCCAGGAGUUUCUAGAUAACCAGCAGUACACCAGAAGAGGAAUCUUACGUUACGAGAAGAUGUUCGGAUCAGGAUACGUCAGCACAGGCGGAUUCAACACCACCAAGGAGUUUGUUGAUAUGCUGAACUUGACCGCCGGACAGAAAGUUCUUGAUGUUGGCUGUGGGAUCGGAGGUGGAGAUUUCUACAUGGCCAAGACCUUUGGGGUUGAGGUUCUGGGCAUGGACCUGUCAUCAAACAUGGUGGAGAUUGCCAUUGAGAGAGCCGUGAAGGAGAAACUGCCAUUAGUGCAGUUUGAGGUGUCAGAUGCCACAAAAAGAAGGUUUCCUGACGCCGCGUUUGAUGUGGUUUACAGCAGAGACACGAUUCUGCAUAUCAGGGACAAACUUGACCUCUUCGGAAAGUUUUAUGUGAGUGUUCUUACAGUCAUGGCUGAAGCCAGGUGGGAAACUUCUGAUCAGUGACUACUGCUGUGGAGAGAAGCCUUGGUCUCCAGCGUUUCAGGAUUACAUUAUCCAGCGAGGAUAUAUCCUCUACACACCUCAGAGAUACGGACAAUUCCUGGCUGAGGUGGGAUUCAGUAAUGUUCGCGCUGAGGACAGAACAGAGCAAUUUAUUCAGGUUAUAAAGGCUGAACUGCAGAGAGCCGAGGAGAUGAAAGAGGAGUUUAUACAGGAGUUCUCUGAGGAAGACUAUGAUGCCGUUGUAAACGGAUGGACAGAAAAACUGCAGCGCUGUGAGACUGGAGACCAACGCUGGGGGCUUUUCUAUGCCACCAAAGAAUGAGAGAGAGGAACAAUCCAACUAAUGAUCAAAUUCAAAUCAAUAUAUUUCAGAUGCUAUAUUAAACUUACUGUUCUUUCUAAUUCUGUGAAUUGCACAACAGUGCGCAAGAUUUGAGCAUCAGAGCUGUAAGGCCGACAUACUGUUAUGCAGCAUAAAUUUUAAUAAAAUUCUGCUUUUCUGUAUAAUUUAA